rnacentral:rRNA from 1 species
ACAAUGGUAGGAGAGCGUUCUAAGGGCGUUGAAGCAUGAUCGUAAGGACAUGUGGAGCGCUUAGAAGUGAGAAUGCCGGUGUGAGUAGCGAAAGACGGGUGAGAAUCCCGUCCACCGAUUGACUAAGGUUUCCAGAGGAAGGCUCGUCCGCUCUGGGUUAGUCGGGUCCUAAGCUGAGGCCGACAGGCGUAGGCGAUGGAUAACAGGUUGAUAUUCCUGUACCACCUAUAAUCGUUUUAAUCGAUGGGGGGACGCAGUAGGAUAGGCGAAGCGUGCGAUUGGAUUGCACGUCUAAGCAGUAAGGCUGAGUAUUAGGCAAAUCCGGUACUCGUUAAGGCUGAGCUGUGAUGGGGAGAAGACAUUGUGUCUUCGAGUCGUUGAUUUCACACUGCCGAGAAAAGCCUCUAGAUAGAAAAUAGGUGCCCGUACCGCAAACCGACACAGGUAGUCAAGAUGAGAAUUCUAAGGUGAGCGAGCGAACUCUCGUUAAGGAACUCGGCAAAAUGACCCCGUAACUUCGGGAGAAGGGGUGCUCUUUAGGGUUAACGCCCAGAAGAGCCGCAGUGAAUAGGCCCAAGCGACUGUUUAUCAAAAACACAGGUCUCUGCUAAACCGUAAGGUGAUGUAUAGGGGCUGACGCCUGCCCGGUGCUGGAAGGUUAAGAGGAGUGGUUAGCUUCUGCGAAGCUACGAAUCGAAGCCCCAGUAAACGGCGGCCGUAACUAUAACGGUCCUAAGGUAGCGAAAUUCCUUGUCGGGUAAGUUCCGACCCGCACGAAAGGCGUAACGAUUUGGGCACUGUCUCAACGAGAGACUCGGUGAAAUCAUAGUACCUGUGAAGAUGCAGGUUACCCGCGACAGGACGGAAAGACCCCGUGGAGCUUUACUGUAGCCUGAUAUUGAAAUUCGGCACAGCUUGUACAGGAUAGGUAGGAGCCUUUGAAACGUGAGCGCUAGCUUACGUGGAGGCGCUGGUGGGAUACUACCCUAGCUGUGUUGGCUUUCUAACCCGCACCACUUAUCGUGGUGGGAGACAGUGUCAGGCGGGCAGUUUGACUGGGGCGGUCGCCUCCUAAAAGGUAACGGAGGCGCUCAAAGGUUCCCUCAGAAUGGUUGGAAAUCAUUCAUAGAGUGUAAAGGCAUAAGGGAGCUUGACUGCGAGACCUACAAGUCGAGCAGGGUCGAAAGACGGACUUAGUGAUCCGGUGGUUCCGCAUGGAAGGGCCAUCGCUCAACGGAUAAAAGCUACCCCGGGGAUAACAGGCUUAUCUCCCCCAAGAGUUCACAUCGACGGGGAGGUUUGGCACCUCGAUGUCGGCUCAUCGCAUCCUGGGGCUGUAGUCGGUCCCAAGGGUUGGGCUGUUCGCCCAUUAAAGCGGUACGCGAGCUGGGUUCAGAACGUCGUGAGACAGUUCGGUCCCUAUCCGUCGUGGGCGUAGGAAAUUUGAGAGGAGCUGUCCUUAGUACGAGAGGACCGGGAUGGACAUACCUCUGGUGUACCAGUUGUCGUGCCAACGGCAUAGCUGGGUAGCUAUGUGUGGACGGGAUAAGUGCUGAAAGCAUCUAAGCAUGAAGCCCCCCUCAAGAUGAGAUUUCCCAACUUCGGUUAUAAGAUCCCUCAAAGAUGAUGAGGUUAAUAGGUUCGAGGUGGAAGCAUGGUGACAUGUGGAGCUGACGAAUACUAAUCGAUCGAAGACUUAAUCAA